rnacentral:rRNA from 1 species
CGCGCGAUACAGGGUGACAGCCCCGUACACAAAAGCGCAUGUGUUGUGAGCUCGAUGAGUAGGGCGGGACACGUGGUAUCCUGUCUGAAUAUGGGGGGACCAUCCUCCAAGGCUAAAUACUCCUGAGUGACCGAUAGUGAACCAGUACCGUGAGGGAAAGGCGAAAAGAACCCCGGCGAGGGGAGUGAAAAAGAACCUGAAACCGUGUACGUACAAGCAGUGGGAGCCCCACCACCAAAGCAUUCUCUGGUGUUGAAGGCCCUGCAAAGCAGCAUCGCGGUGGCGGAGCGUCGUUUGCGACGCCCAACACAAAAAACAAGCGGUGAGUGCUUUGGGGUGGGGUGACUGCGUACCUUUUGUAUAAUGGGUCAGCGACUUAUAUUCUGUAGCAAGGUUAACCGAAUAGGGGAGCCGUAGGGAAACCGAGUCUUAA